UUUUUAGUGAAGGGAGUGAUAAUAAUAAUAAGAAUUUUUCAAAUAAGAGGGAUUUACAAUUUUUUGUAUGCAUUUCCAUUAAAAAUAACUACUGGCAUAAACAUUUCACCCAAGUUGGUAGGUUUUCAGUGGUGAAUUAUCUUCAGAAAUUGGUUAUUCAACAAAUUUAAGUGAAAUUGUUUUGAUGAAUAACAAGUUUUCAGGUAAAUUUCCUUCAGUAUGGUUUGUUUAUAUGCAUCUUUAGCGAUCUAAACUAAAAUUAUUGAUUGCAGGACUGGAUUGUCAUCAUUGUUUUAAAUUGUGGUUGUGGUCGCAGUUUUGUUGGGAACCUAAAAUGCAUUAAGAUUCUGGUAUAUCUGCUUUUCCUGAGGAAGACAACAUAUUCUUGUGGAAAGGAACAAUAACCGGAAACAAAGAUGCAGUGUUUGAAGCUAAUAGAGUUUCCUCUUAAAGAAGCAAAAAUAUAUAUCCAUGAAGGUCAAGUGUUUCAAUAUUUGUAAUCUCUUUUUAGUGUUUCCCGUGUUUGUGUUUUUCAAUUUCCAGUAGCAAUAUAUGAUGGAUCAAGUGAUGCAUUUAGUUGAUAAUCGAAAUAUAAAUUGGAAGAGUAAAAUUUAGUAUCUGAUUUUCUCAGCUGCUUUGGUAACUUCAUAGUAUCUGAACUUUUAGGAUUGCUUCAAUGAGGUUUAACUAAAAUGUGUUCAGAAGUAUGUUGCAUUUACUUUAUUUUUGAAUAACAAGAGUUUCAACAUGAGUUAAGAUAAUAAAAUGAUUUUCCAUGAUUGUUAAGAUGCAAAUGAUAUAAAGAAUAAAUGUAUUUUUGAACUGAUUAACAUGAGUUCCAUUUGGUUUGAUGUUCUAAUGUAUAGUUCUGAUUCUGUUUGGUGAUUUGGAUAGAUUAUAUUUUUCCUUGAGUUGAACAAGUACAUGCAUUUGUGUUGUGUUGCUCUAUGUUUGGUUGUGUUGUUCCUUUAAGGACAAUUCCAGUUUUUAGAUUGUAUUGAGUUUUAUAGUAUAGAGAUUUCCCAAAAAUUAUGGUAUAGAGUUUUGGAAUCUUUUUACUGUGGCAAAUUCAUGAAUGUGUCAAAACUGAAGUUACAGUCAUUUUGGUUUCCUUCAGCUGUUGUUAGGUUUGCUUGUGCACAAAUCCUUUUUUUGUAGUGAAGACAAGGUUGCAGCUUGAAACCCUCUUCAUCAUGCACGACCAUACUCUAGGCUAUAUGGUCUGAUCUCCAUCUUACAUUGGCUAUAUAUUUUGAACUGAAGAAAAUGGUUGUGUAUUAACCUGCUGGCAGGACAGGUCUUUGUUUUACAAGGUUUGCAAACCACCUUAUCAGUCAAGGCUUGCUUCAUUUAGAGGUAUCAAGGUGUUUUCCUUUUGUGUUCUUUUUUGGAUUUGGCUUCAUAGUGGUGCUAUUGAUUGUGCUAGAAUAAACAUGGGUUAUGACUUAUCAUAUUGCGUACAACAUCAAGCAAUAUGAUAAGGGGGUUACACUGCAGAUUCUGCCACUUUAUGGAAAGCACAAGGUGUUACACUUCAACAGAACUGAUGCAUAUCUAGCAAAUAACGGUCUGGUCUCCCACUUGAUCUACAGAAACUCAGGUGUCGUGUCAAUUACCAGGCUAUUAAAUUCACUCCUCAAAUUGAGAAUUUAGGGCGAAAAUUGAUUCAGAUGCUUCACGAGAAGGGACCUUUUGUGGCACUGCAUCUUAGAUAUGAGAUGGACAUGUUGGCUUUCUCAGGUUUUACCCACGGUUGUUCAAAGAAAGAAGCCGAAGAGCUUAAAAGAUUGAGGUAUGUGCAUUCCCUUGGUGGAGAGAAAAGGAGAUAAUUUCUGAAGAGAGGAGAUCACAGGGUCUAUGUCCUUUGACACCAGAAGAGGCGGCCUUAGUUCUUCUAGCCUUAGGUUUUGGUAGGGAGACACUGAUAUAUAUUGCAGCUGGUGAGAUUUAUGGUGGUAAACGUAGGCUUGCACAACUCAGAGCAGCAUUUCCCCAAAUUGUGAAAAAGGAAAUGUUGCUGACACGUGAUGAUAAAAAUUCAACUUCAAGGUUUUAGUCAAAACUUAUACCAAAGAGCAGCCAAUUUUAGUUGAUUUAUGUUUAUUACAAUGAGAAGCAACAGAUUAUAAGCAAGAACUUGAUGAGGCUUUACAAAGAGAGAUGAGGGAAGAAGACGAGGAAAUUGAAGCUGAUGGUGCCAAUUACCAGCUUGAAAUGAUGAGGUGCUUUUGAGAGGUCAAUGUGGACAAUAAUACCGUUGGAUGGUACCAGUCUACAUUGCUUGGCUCCUAUCAAACUGUGGAGCUGAUUGAAACCUUUAUGAAUUACCAGGUCGCGUACAGAUAGAUCAAUCAAAUAAAGAAACUGAUUUGCUCAAAAAUAACAAUGACUUGAUUUAUGCUUCAGUUGAUAAAACUUCUGAAGGUGUUUUUGAAGCUCUUCGCCCAGCCUCUGAAGCAUUAUUACAUGACAUUCCAUUUGUUGGUAAAGAUUCAGUUGUAGUCCAAGAAAUUUCUUACAGUGAGAUCAUUGCAAAGGGAAGUUUAGUGGUAAAUGGUAUCCAGUCAAAGUAGGAACAAGUAGAAAAUCGACUUUAUAACCAGGGUGUUGGGGAUAUUCCAAAAUAUGUGAAUCUUAAAUUGUCACUAGCAAUGGACUGGCUUGAGAUAUCAUGGGAUGAACUGCGGAUCAAAGAACGCAUUGGUGCUGGAUCAUUUGGGACAGUGUACCGUGCUGAAUGGCAUGGAUCACCAGUGGCAUCUACAAUAAACACAUUAGUAGGUACAUUGCACAAAGUGUUUGGUGCAUCUCCUGAUCCAGCUUGCAUUGAAAUGCACCCAACAUGUUUUGAUUAUUUGAGCCUUGGAGGUGUUUGCUCAGACGGACCAAUAGCUCUACUCUCCGGUCUGAAUUCGCGUCCAUUGAGCUUGGUUCUACAUUUCUUCGCGCUGGCUGUAUACGGUGUUGGCCGCCUCUUGAUACCGUUUCCUUCUCCAAAAUGAAUGUGGAUCGGAGCUAGAUUGAUUUCUGGUGCAUCAGGUAUCAUUUUCCCCAUUAUCAAGGCUGAAGGAGUGAGACAAAUGUUUUUUUCCAGCAAGUGUGCCAGCAUAUUACAGAAUGCCUGCUGUCAUAUAUGAUUGCAGGAUCUCCAUGUCAUGAGCUACAUUGGGAUUAAAGUCUUGAUCGAAACUUUCCCAGGUUAAAAAAUCUCUUUACAGGACCAUUGUUAUAACCAGGUUAUACCUUUCUAUUACUCAAAGAUCCAUCUUAUUGCCUCUUUUAUUGAAUCUUUUAUAUGUAUAUUAAGAAGACUACAACUAAGGGAGCAACAAUCUAAAGCCGUUCAUGGUGUUUUCAUAAAUUUGUUUAAUUCAUUUUUCAAAUAAGAAGCGGUGUUUUUAUGUUUGUUUGCGUGAUAAUUAUAUAUUGCUUGUGUGUAUGUCGUUGGCUUUUAAUUGAGCUAACAUAAAGGUUUCAGUGUAUUAGACCUCAUACCAAAUCUCAAACAAACAAUGAACUUAUUGGUCAGCAAGGAUAUCAAAACAAGAUAUAAAGGAUAAUUUUACAAAAGUGCACAGAUUACGAAAAGCUAAAAAAGCAAAUGGAUAAACUCAAAAGAAAGCAAGCUGAUUAUCAUGAAGCAGCUGAGAGCAAAUUAUCAAAACCUGCACUGAAACAGCUAUAUAGAGAGGUUUUUGAUGCGGUACACAAAAACACAACUCAUCACAAUCAAGAUGAUAAUCAAGCUUGGUGAGCUGAAUUUGGAACAAUUAAUCUAUCAAGGACGUUAGUAAUAAUGUGAUUGUUGUUGAUUCAAUUAGAAGUCAUGAGUUUGAAUUUGAUCCUACUUGAAUCAAAAAAUAUUCAUUCAUAAAUAGAUAGAUCACUUGAGAUAUUAUAUUGUAUUCUUUAAGCAUUGUGAACAAUUGGUUUGUGGAACUUGAA